AUUGAACGCUGGCGGCAGGCCUAACACAUGCAAGUCGAGCGAGCGGCGGACGGGGGAGUAAUGUAUGGGGACUGCCCGAUAGAGGGGGAUAACUACUGGAAACGGUGGCUAAUACCGCAUACUAUCGGAUAACCCAUAUGGGUUUAGCUAGUAGGUGGGGUAAAGGCUCACCUAGGCGACGAUCUCGAGCUGGUCUGAGAGGAUGAUCAGUCACACGGGAACUGAGACACGGUCCAGACGCCUACGGAGGCAGCAGUGGGGAAUAUUGGACAAGGGGCGCAAGCCUGAUGCAGCCAUUCCGCGUGUAUGAAGAAGGGCUUAGGGUUGUAAAGGACUUUCAGCGGGGAGGCGUUACCCGCAGAAGAAGCACCGGCUAACUCCGUGCCAGCAGCCGCGGUAAUUC
rnacentral:rRNA from 1 species